AUUGAACGCUGGCGGCAUGCCUUACACAUGCAAGUCGAACGGUAACAGGGAGCUUGCUCCGCUGACGAGUGGCGAACGGGUGAGUAAUGCGUCGGAACGUGCCGAGUAGUGGGGGAUAACGCAGCGAAAGUUGUGCUAAUACCGCAUACGUACUGAGGUAGAAAGUGGGGGACCUUCGGGCCUCACGCUAUUCGAGCGGCCGACGUCUGCUUAGCUAGUAGGUGAGGUAAAGGCUCACCUAGGCGACGAUCAGUAGCGGGUCUGAGAGGAUGGUCCGCCACACUGGGACUGAGACACGGCCCAGACUCCUACGGGAGGCAGCAGUGGGGAAUUUUGGACAAUGGGCGAAAGCCUGAUCCAGCCAUGCCGCGUGUCUGAAGAAGGCCUUCGGGUUGUAAAGGACUUUUGUCGGGGAGGAAAUCCCCAGCGCUAAUACCGCUGGGGGAUGACAGUACCUGAAGAAUAAGCACCGGCUAACUACGUGCCAGCCGCCGCGGUAAGAC
rnacentral:rRNA from 1 species